UGUAAGCGUAUACCAAAGUUGUUGCAGUUAAAACGCUCGUAGUCGGAAUUUGGCAGUUCCGGAUGUGUGCACGUCGCGUGCGCACUUCGCGGGGAUUGCUUUUGUGGUCUUGCGUAGGAUGAGGCACUUUUAUUAGUGAACGUCCUCACGCAACCACUUUUUACUGUGAGAAAAUCAGAGUGCUCAAAGCAGGCAUUUGCCGUGAAUGUAUUAGCAUGGAAUAAUAGAAUAGGACUUGGUUCUAUUUUGUUGGUUUGUUGGGACUGAGUAAUGAUUAAGAGGGACAGUUGGGGGCAUUUGUAUUUCGGUGCUAGAGGUGAAAUUCUUAGAUUACCGAAAGACAAACUGCUGCGAAAGCGUCUGCCAAGGAUGUUUUCAUUGA
rnacentral:rRNA from 1 species